CUGCCCUCAAGCACGGCUUGUGUGUUGGGUCCCCGCCCCCUGCUUCCAGGGGGCGGACCCGAAAGGCAGCGGCGGCACCGCGUCCGGUCCUCGAGCGUAUGGGGCUUCGUCACCCGCUCUUGUAGGCCCGGCCGGCGCCCGCCGGCGACCCCCCAUCAAUCUUUUCA
rnacentral:misc_RNA from 1 species